CCGGGUUAGUGUAUAAUUUCCUCUGAGUCUCUCUGGAGUAGAAGAGAACAUUUGUGCUCAGUUCAGCAGGUAAACAGCUAGAGACAGAGCGCUCUCCAGUCUGAACCUUCCAGAAGCAACGAUGGAACGAGACAGCCACACCACGAAAACAUCUGGCGAUGUCAUCACAUGCCGGGCAGCUGUCGCCUGGACCACUAAUGCCCCCCUGUCUGUCGAGGAGGUUACAGUUGAUCCACCAAAGGCUUGUGAGGUUCGAGUUAAGAUCAUAUCCUCUGGGAUCUGUGGCACUGAUAAUCAUAUCCUAGAAGGGAAAAUGGAAACGCCAUUUCCUGUCAUCCUGGGCCACGAGGGAGCUGGAAUUGUGGAGAGUAUUGGUCAAGGUGUGACUACCGUGAAGCCAGGAGACAAAGUCUUAAUGUUCCCUCUCCCAGAAUGUCGAGAAUGCAUCUACUGCCUUCACCCCAAGGGCAACUUCUGUAAGAAACAAAAUAUUCUCUCUCCAACCGGAUUAAUGUUGGAUGGAACCAGCCGAUUUACCUGCAGAGGGAAGAAAAUCUAUCACCUUCAGGGAACCAGCACGUUCACAGAAUAUACCGUGGUAGAUGAGAUCGCUGUGGCAAAGAUCAAUGACAGAGCUCCUAUGGACACAGUCUGUAUUAUAAGCUGUGAGGUGUCGACAGGCUUUGGAGCUGUGUUUAACACAGCUCAGGUCACCCCUGGCUCUACCUGUGUGGUUUUUGGACUUGGAGGAAUUGGUUCAGCCAUCGUCAUGGCCUGCAAAGCCUCCGGUGCAUCUAGAAUCAUCAGGGUUGACACCGACGAGCAGAAGUUUCCUCGGGCAAGAGCCUUGGGGGUCACUGACUGCCUCAACCCUAAAAAGCUCGAGAAACCUGUUCAGAAGGUGGUGAAGGAAAUGACAGGUGUCGGUGUUGACUUUGCCUUUGAGGCCAUCGGACUGAUUGAAACGAUGGUCUCGGCUUUGAAGUCAUGCAACAGGAGCUCCGGAGUGUGCGUAAUUAUGGGAGUGGCUCCCACCGGCUCCCAGCUCUCUUUUGACCCCGUGCUGCUUCUCCCUGGGAGAACUCUAAAAUCUUCUGUUUUGGGAGGGUAUAAAACCAGAGAUGACAUCCCUAAACUAGUAACUGACUACGUACAAAAAAAUUCAACAUAGAACCUCUUAUAACCCACAGGCUGCCUUUUCCAGAAAUCAAUGAAGGAUUCAAACUGUUGCGAGAGGGAAAAUGCAUCCGCUGCGUCCUCUCUAUGAGACCCUGA